UACGAAGGGUGCAAACGUUGCUCGGAAUUAUUGGGCGUAAAGCGCACGUAGGCGGCAUUGCAAGUCGGAUGUGAAAUCCCUCGGCUUAACCAAGGAAGUGCAUCCGAAAUUGCAGUGCUUGAGUACUUAAGAGGAUCGCGGAAUUCCCGGUGUAGAGGUGAAACUCGUAGAUAUCGGGAGGAACACCAGUGGCGAAGGCGGCGAUCUGGGAAGAUACUGACGCUGAGGUGCGAAAGCGUGGGGAGCAAACAGG
rnacentral:rRNA from 1 species